rnacentral:rRNA from 1 species
AUUGAACGCUGGCGGCAGGCCUAACACAUGCAAGUCGAACGAGUGGCGGACGGGUGAGUAAUGUCUGGGAAACUGCCUGAUGGAGGGGGAUAACUACUGGAAACGGUAGCUAAUACCGCAUACCAUCGGAUGUGCCCAGAUGGGAUUAGCUAGUAGGUGGGGUAAAGGCUCCCCUAGGCGACGAUCCCUAGCUGAUCUGAGAGGAUGACCAGAAACACUGUAACGGGGCCACGGUCCAGACUCCAGCGGGAGGAAGCAGUGGGGAAUAUGGCACAAUGGGCGCAAGCCAGAUGCAGCCAUGACGCGUGUAUGAAGAAGGCCUUCGGGUUGUAAAGUACUUUCAGCGGGGAGGCGUUACCCGCAGAAGAAGCACCGGCUAACUCCGUGCCAGCAGCCGCGGUAAUUC